UACGUAGGGUGCGAGCGUUGUCCGGAAUUAUUGGGCGUAAAGGGCUCGUAGGCGGUUUGUCGCGUCGGGAGUGAAAACCCAGGGCUUAACUCUGGGCUUGCUUUCGAUACGGGCAGACUAGAGUUCGGCAGGGGAGACUGGAAUUCCUGGUGUAGCGGUGAAAUGCGCAGAUAUCAGGAGGAACACCGGUGGCGAAGGCGGGUCUCUGGGCCGAUACUGACGCUGAGGAGCGAAAGCGUGGGGGAGCAAACAGG
rnacentral:rRNA from 1 species